CCUACGGGUGACAGCAGUGAGGAAUAUUGGUCAAUGGCCGGAAGGCUGAACCAGCCAUGUCGCGUGAAGGUCAGUGCCCUAUGGGCGUUAAACUUCUUUUGUGCGGGAGCAAUAAUGGUCACGUGUGGCCAGACGAGCGUACCGUACGAAUAAGCAUCGGCUAACUCCGUGCCAGCAGCCGCGGUAAUACGGGGGAGGCAAGCGUUAUCCGGAUUUAUUGGGUUUAAAGGGUGCGCAGGCGGAUUUGUAAGUCAGCGGUGAAAUCGUGGGGCUCAACCCCAGACAGCCGUUGAAACUGGGGAUCUAGGGUGUGCGAGAGGUAUGCGGAAUGCGUGGGGUAGCGGUGAAAUGCAUAGAUAUCACGGAGGACCCCGAUUGCGAAGGGAGCAUACCGGUGCACAACUGACGCUCAGGCACGAAAGCGUGGGUAUCGAACAGGAUUAGAUACCCCUGGUAGUC
rnacentral:rRNA from 1 species